rnacentral:rRNA from 1 species
UAGGGAAUAUUGGUCAAUGGAUGCAAGUCUGAACCAGCCAUGCCGCGUGCAGGAAGAAGGCCUUCUGGGUUGUAAACUGCUUUUGUCAGGGGAUAAAAUUUCCUUGCGAGGAAAAUUGAAGGUACCUGGCGAAUAAGCCACGGCUAACUACGUGCCAGCAGCCGCGGUAAUACGUAGGUGGCAAUCGUUGUCCGGAUUUAUUGGGUUUAAAGGGUGCGUAGGCGGUUUUGUAAGUCAGUGGUGAAAUAUAGCAGCUUAACUGUUAGGGUGCCAUUGAUACUGCAGAACUUGAGUACAGAUGAGGUAGGCGGAAUUGACGGUGUAGCGGUGAAAUGCUUAGAUAUCGUCAAGAACACCUAUAGCGAAGGACAGCUUACUAGGCUGUAACUGACGCUGAGGCACGAAAGUGUGGGGAUCAAACAGGAUUAGAUACCCUGGUAGUCCACACUGUAAACGUUGAUUACUCGCUGUGUGCGAUAUACAGUACG